GAUCAUGGCUCAGGAUGAACGCUAGCGACAGGCUUAACACAUGCAAGUCGAGGGGCAGCACAGAUAGCAAUACCGGGUGGCGACCGGCGCACGGGUGAGUAACGCGUAUGCAACUUACCUAUCAGAGGGGGAUAACCCGGCGAAAGUCGGACUAAUACCGCAUGAAGCAGGGGCCCCGCAUGGGGAUAUUUGCUAAAGAUUUAUCGCUGAUAGAUAGGCAUGCGUUCCAUUAGG
rnacentral:rRNA from 1 species